rnacentral:rRNA from 1 species
CCUACGGGGGGCAGCAGUGGGGAAUAUUGGACAAUGGGGGGAACCCUGAUCCAGCCAUGCCGCGUGUGUGAAGAAGGCCCUCGGGUUGUAAAGCACUUUCAGUGAGGAAGAACGCCUGGUGGUUAAUACCCAUCAGGAAAGACAACACUCACAGAAGAAGCACCGGCUAACUCCGUGCCAGCAGCCGCGGUAAUACGGAGGGUGCGAGCGUUAAUCGGAAUUACUGGGCGUAAAGCGCGCGUAGGUGGCUUGAUAAGCCGGUUGUGAAAGCCCCGGGCUCAACCUGGGAACGGCAUCCGGAACUGUCAAGCUAGAGUGCAGGAGAGGAAGGUAGAAUUCCCGGUGUAGCGGUGAAAUGCGUAGAGAUCGGGAGGAAUACCAGUGGCGAAGGCGGCCUUCUGGACUGACACUGACACUGAGGUGCGAAAGCGUGGGUAGCAAACAGGAUUAGAUACCCUGGUAGUC